rnacentral:tmRNA from 1 species
GGGGCUGACUUGGAAUCGACAGGAAAUGUCAUUUAAUGUUAAGCAUGCCGGAGUAUGAUGUCUCACCUCCGUUAAUAACUGGGCAUUUAACCAAUUUUACAUGGCAAUAACAAUUUUGCCUUAGCUGCCUAAUUCUAGGAAUUAAGUAGCUUUUGUGCUUUCACCUGGACGCCAGAUAAGGGAGAAAAGCACAUCAUAACCAUGUGGCUAGUCUGACUAGAUGUCUCGAUAGGCAGGCGAAAUUAAGAGAAUAAGCGAUGUAUUGGCCGGUAGUCAGGCGUGUACAUUGACGAAAAUCAAUAUGAUUACUAAGCAUGUAGAAGGGCAUUGGAUGCUUUCUCUGGACCCGGGUUCAAAUCCCGGCAGCUCCACUA